UCUGGAACUCGGCUGUCUUUCUUUGUGUCAACCAAUUUAUGAUCGGUUUUGCUAUUUUUCAGUCGAGCGUUUUGCAAUUGGCUUUCAUUCAAAUCUGUGUCCGUUCGAUCUCGUGUUAAGAUUCGCGCUGAGAGUUGUCGUUUUGGGUCUGUUUUUCUUAUCGGGCGCACGUUUCGUUUGGCUCCAGCCCGUUUUUCCGCCGCCUGCCGGGUGUGGUUUUCUGUCUGUUUUUUUCCGCGCCCUUCCCUUCCCCAUUUCAUCUGGGCGGUAGUGUUCGAUUCGAUAGAGAGACGGAGAGAGAGAGAGAGAUGUAGAGCGGCGGAGAAGAGGAGGCGAUUCCGUCAUGUUCAUGUCGUUCCGGAGAUCCUCCCUUCCCCCCUGCGGAGCUUAAUUUUCACUUUGAUUCACGGUUGCCACGGUUCCAGGGUGUUGUUGUGGAAAGCUCUUGUAGAUGUAGCUAUUUGUUCAGCUUCGGGGCUACGGAGAGUCUCUCACCAGGACAUUCCAUUAGUAUCAUCUAUUGAGAGUGCAAAUUCUUUGAAUGUUCCGUUUGUGCUUAAUGACUUCGCGGACGAUGGUUCUAAUGCUACGUCAUUGGAACUUUUUGGUAUGAUGGAGGCUUUGACAAAGCUCUAUUCAAGUUAUAUAUGAAUCAUUGAAUCAUUGAAGAGGAAAUUAUCAUGUGCUUGAAGAAGGAAUGUGGUCAGCCCCCUUUGUUAUACUAAGCUCUCUCAUGGCUUUAGUCUGUUCUUCUCUUUACUGUUGCACUGCAGUUUCCCAGUGUUGUAGUUCUGUAUUUAGGCCAUAAUUAAUCUUUUUUGCUUAUGCAUCUUAUUGUUUGUUUGCACAUCUCAUGGAAUUUCAGUGUUUUUCCUCUGCAAAUUAAUUGUAAUUAUCAGAGUAUUUCCUCCCCUGUUUUUUUGUAUUAUAUAUGUGCUCAUGAAGUCGUAGAGCUGGGUUUGCUGUAAUGUAUGUACUGUAUUGUAGUUCUGAUUUCUUCGCGCUUUGCUUUUGCUAGUUUCAUCAUGUAGAUAACUAGGUCUUUUGCGUUGUAUAUAAUGUCAGAUUGUAGGAGAGCAGUAAAUGAAAAUGUUUCCUGCAAUAGAUUGUCAACUUUUCAUUAUUAUGUACAUAUCAUUUUUCUUCAAGUUUCUGAGAUCAUUAUUUGCUAUUUCGAUCUCACAUUUAGAAUGAGUUCUUCUUGUGUCAUUGUGAGUAGAUCAAUUUCAGUUAUUGUUCUUGGCUUGCUUCCCAUCUGCAAUUUUGAAAAAGUAAAUGUCAAUAUUUGCAAAAAUAUGAACAAUAAACUCUUGUGACAUUGUGCUUACUGUAAUUUGGCAGAAUGCCCCAAAUUGCUUCUGGUUAAUUUCUGUGUUCUUAGAUUGUAUUUUGCUGUACUUAUUUUAUAGUAAUUCAUAUGUAUUUAGACUGUAAAUUUUCUUGUAAAGCACUAUAAUUCAUGUGUACCUUCACUGUACUUUACUUUCAGAGUAAUUCCUUAGAAUGUAUAGUGUAAUUCCAGAGCUUUAGUCACUGUAAAUCCUUGGUGUUCACAUUGUAAUUUCCUGUGAUUUUUCAUUGUUGUCAUUCCUUGGUGUUUGCACUGCAAUUUCCACUGAUUUACUCAGUGAAUUUUCUCUGAUGUGUCUAAAAUGUUGUCUUUGUGCCUACUUCAUUGUUGUCAUUCCUGCAGUGUGCUUUUUCAGUUUGAUUUCAAUGUAAUAUUUUACAGUGUAAUUUACGGAAUAGUCACUGUAAAAAUUGUAGGUAUUACAGUGCAAUACCUAAGAUUAUUUUAGGGAAUUACACUCUGUAAAUACCCCAUUUUUUACAUUGUAUAUACUGUAGGGAGCUCCUCUGAUUUUUUCACUGCAUAUCCCACAUUUAUUAUAGUCCAUGCUUCAUCUCUAAUUUCCUGAAUUUCUGAUAAUGUAAAUUGAUGCCACAUUACACUGUAAUGCAGCACAUAUUUUCAUGUGUACUUACCAAACGCCCUUAUUUUCAUGUGUAUUAGAAUGCAUUUUAACUCAGUAUUUCCUGUUUGGUUCACUGUUUUUACCCUGAUCUAAAUAAAUUUCAGUGUUGCUUUCAGUCAGUUAGAACCUAAUGGUUCCAAUUUUUCUUCACUUGAUUCUUUGAUGUUUUCUGCAGACAAGUUCACGUAAAAGGUGUUUGUACAUUAUAAGGGAGAGCAAAAAAGAGUAGGAGAGUGUUGGUGUUUUGUGAUCCAGGAGGGCCUAGUUGGUUGCGUAGUUGAGCAGAAAUGAAUCGGGUGAUGUUUUGGUUCGGUGAGAACCGGGUAAGAAUUUUUAGUCCGGCCGUUUUGUUGAACAUACAAACAUACAAGUAUCUGUAUCAGCUGUGUUUGGACAUACAGGUGUCAUCUCUUUAGUUGUCAGAAAGUUUGAAUGAAAGUCAAUUGAAAAUCAGUCGAAUGUUAAA